AGCGAACGCUGGCGGCAGGCUUAACACAUGCAAGUCGAGCGCACCGCCAGGGGAGCGGCAGACGGGAGCGGAAAGCGGGGGGACAAACCGGUGGGUACGGCACAACUGAGGGAAACCUAAGCUAAUAACGGACAAGGCCUUACGGGGAAAGAUUUAUCGCCGAAAGGAUGGCGCGCGUGGGGGUGGCAAGUUGGUGAGGUAACGGCGCACCAGGGCGACGAGCAGUAGCGGGUCUGGGAGGAUGAUCAGCCUCCCUGGGUCUGAGGCCCGGCCCAGACUCCGACGGUAGGCCGCAGUGGGGAAUCUUGAACAAUGGGCGCAACCCUGAUCCAGCCAUGCCGCGUGAGUGAUGCAGCCCUUAGGGUUGUAAAGCUCUUUUGCCCGGGAAGAUAAUGACGGUACCGGGAGAAUAAGCCCCGGCUAACUUCGUG
rnacentral:rRNA from 1 species